GACGAACGCUGGCGGCGUGCCUAACACAUGCAAGUCAACUUGACUGAAGGAGCAAUCUGACAGUAGAGUGGCGCAAGGGUGCGUAACGCGUAAGUAACUUGCCCCAAGGUAAGGAAUAACGUCGAGAAAUCGGCGCUAAUACCUCAUAAUGCAGCGGAUCCGCAUGGAUAUGUUGUUAAAGGUUUACCGCCUUGGGAUAGGCUUGCGUCUGAUUAGCUAGUUGGUGUGGUAAACGGCACACCAAGGCUACGAUCAGUAACUGGUCUGAGAGGAUGAUCAGUCACACUGGAACUGAGACACGGUCCAGACUCCUACGGGAGGCAGCAGUGAGGAAUAUUGGGCAAUGCUCGAAAGAGUGACCCAGCAACGCCGCGUGGAGGAUGAAGGUAUUCUAUAUCGUAAACUCCUGUGAGAGCAGACGAAAGACAGAUUAUUAAUCUGGAUGACUGUAUGCUCAGAGGAAGCCCCGGCUAACUACG
rnacentral:rRNA from 1 species